rnacentral:rRNA from 1 species
CACGUAGGGGGCGAGCGUUGUCCGGAUUCAUUGGGCGUAAAGGGCGCGUAGGCGGCCUUCUAAGUCAGACGUGAAAUCCCCAGGCUUAACUUGGGAACUGCGUCUGAUACUGGGAGGCUUGAGUGCGGGAGAGGGAUGUGGAAUUCCAGGUGUAGCGGUGAAAUGCGUAGAUAUCUGGAGGAACACCGGUGGCGAAGGCGGCAUCCUGGACCAACACUGACACUGAGGAGCGAAAGCCAGGGGAGCAAACGGG